AUCUCUUCCUGGAGAUUUUUUCUUGCAGAGUUUUUGCAAGCCUACAACACCGAAUCUCAAACACCACAGUGACCGAUCAGGUGCGUGCAUGGGCAAUAUGGACAUAUGCUAUGGAGAUUUAAACUAGCACCACAUAUCCUUCCUUGGCUACUGGAAGCAGCAGAGCUGUAGUAGCAUCAAGGCAAGCAUAUGCUGUUCCAUAAUUCUGCUUACAAGCCUAAUGGAGUUCUACUAAUAUGAUUCUAGAGCUUUGCAUAUGCUGAGUAGGUUGGUUUUGUUCACACACAUCUAAGCUGUGUUCAGUCAUGGAUCUAUCCUGGGAUAUAACCUGCAUUCACAUAUUGCAAAACAUCAGCAGCAUCACCAAAUGAGUCUCAGGAAUGUCCUGCAUAUUUGUCAGUGUUAGUAAUAUAUAACCACAGCAUCCUGCAUUUAUGAGAUCUGCAUAGAUUCUUCUAGCUUCCAACUGGGCAAGGCUGGAGCUGUGCAAGGAGUCAAAGAUAACUCUGUAGCUUCUACCACUGCAGAAAGUUGCUGGCUUUUGAAAGCCAGGUGAUGGCAAAGGAGGACUUAGAGGUAUAAGAGUGACCAUACUUUUCCAUUCUCCCUACUUUGUAGCUGGACUUAUGUGGAAGGAUGGCUGACCCAGGGAGGUCAUGUUUAUCUCUAAGAGGGGAGCAAGUGUCUCCUAAAAGCCUGUCGGAGCUGGUAAAAUGGGCCCAACAACAUGGACACCUUACAGAGGUGGCACUGAUAUGCAGUGUUUCUGAAUGACGUGAUAUAGGAGAUCAGAUGUGGGACUGUAUGAUAUCUGUGGGGAAGGAUGAGAAGUUACUGAAGCCUCUGGGACCGCUGUGGAGUGCUGUUGCCAACACCUUGAAGGCCAUGCAGGCGGAAUGGCAGGUCGCAGCAGUGGCCAUGCAUGCUUUAUUGGGGACAGCCUCUCCAUCUACCUCUUUAAUGGAGACCCCAGUGAAGGGGCUCACACACCCUGUUUGUUCAUCUGCUGCGAAGCUUAAGGCUGCAGUAGGGGACUCUUAGUUGGAGGCAGCUGAAGGGGAGGCAGCCCCCCCUCCUAAGCUGAUUGUGCAGCAACCGGUCACUCCUCCUGCCCCUAAAGAGGAGAGUGAAUCAGGCAGCGACUCAGAGGAUGAUUCUAAGGACUUGGAAGCACUAACUGAAAGGCUGCAGCGCCUGGAGGUUCGGGUGUGUGACAAGAUAAAGGAGUCUAGCCUUACAGGGCCACAAGCACUCUGGGGCCAGCUAAGGGGUCCUGUUGUACCGAGUGCACCUCCACCAUCCACUGCGGUGCCAUCGGCCCCACCCCAGUGGUUCGGAGUUAUCAGGGAUGCAAUCCUGGAGGGAGACUGGGAGGUUGCAUCUAAGGUCACUUGUCCAGCUAUAUAUAAUCAGCAAGGCGGUCAGUGGGAGGUGCACAAUUGGAAAUUGUUGCAGCAAGCUAGGAAGACAGUUAGUGAAUACGGCCUUAAAUCAGAGGCUGCUAAGCAGAUGAUCCAAUGGAUCUUUACUGCAGAUGUUAACACUCCUGCUGACAUCCGAAAUUUUGGCAAAUUUUUACUAUCACCUUUGGAGAAUCUGCUGUAUGUGGCAGAGUGGCAAGACAGAGCUAUUAGGGCUGCUGCAAUUCAAAGGCAGCCGAAUGACCCGCUAUAUGGUAUAAUCCCCAAAAUGCUUAUCGGGUCAGGUCCCUACACCUCACCUGACACCCAGGUCACCUUCCCAGACCAAUGUAUCUAACGGUGGUAAAUCUACUUAUCAGGAUGCUGGUGGUUACUGUGGCACCAAUACAUCAAAAAGACAGGGUUUGGGUGCCAAUGGUGCAGCUGCAAAAGGUGAGACAGAGCGUGGCAGGGCAUCCCUAGCUGGGUGAUAGGCGGACCUUGUUAUUUAGGAAAAUUAACUAUGUUUGCUCCUACCUUUGUGCAGCUUUGAAACAUUAGUCUCUCUAACCGCUCUAACCUCAUGAAGUGUGCUCUGCUAACCCCUGAAUGUAAUGAUAACAUUGAGCUCUUAUCGCUUGCUGCAAGGGUUGCACUCUCCUUUUUCAUUCCUGGUGCCACAACAGCUGAGGCACUUCAGGAGGUUGAGCGCCUUGCCUGCUGGUCAGAGAAACAAGGUAGUAUCACCUCUCAAGUUCUCAAACAGCUUCUGCUUGAUCAAAACAGCUUACAGCAUGCCUUGCUACAAAAUUGUGCUGCUAUAGACUUUCUGUUGUUAGCUCAAGGUCACGGGUGUAAAGAUUUUGAGGGAAUGUGCCAUUUUAAUCUUAGAGACCAUUCUGAAUUGAUUCAUGAGGCUAUAUCUACUUUGAAGCAACGUACGUCUAAGAUCCAACAAGAAAUAAGUCCCCUUGACAAGUGGCUGAAUAGUUUAGGCAUCACGGGAUGGCUUAGUGGGCUUGUCAAGGAGGGCCUUCGUCUAUUGAUGUUGCUGGUGGUGGGAAUCCUCAUAAUUUGUUCAGUUACUGCUGUUGUUAAGAAAAUGCUCUUGAAGGUUACCUCGGCUGUUUUGCUUGUGCAAGAAAAGAACGGGGGAAUUGUGGAAGGAUGGCUGACCCAGGGAGGUCAUGUUUAUCUCCCCCUGGGUGACUGCGAGCAGAACAGCCACUAUGGAUCACUGUCUCACACAGAACAAUGAUGGGAGUAGGCGGAAGGAAUGCAGAACUGCAAUGGAGACCGCUGUGCCAGGUGCCGUGAGACAAGCUGCAAUCAACCGCAAGUUAUGAGAACCGUGCCUUGUUGUACUUAGCAUGCUGUUUGUACCUCUAUAUGCAUGGCUGUUUGCAGUUAUUAAACGGCUUGGCUACU
ensembl:lncRNA